UGCAUCCUGGCUCCUGGGGUCC
rnacentral:miRNA from 1 species